rnacentral:rRNA from 1 species
CUAACAAGGAUUCCCCUAGUAACUGCGAGUGAAGCGGGAAAAGCUCAAAUUUAAAAUCUGGCGGUUUUACCGUCCGAGUUGUAAUCUGGAGAAGCGUUUUCCGCGCCGGACCGUGUACAAGUCUCUUGGAAUAGAGCGUCAUAGAGGGUGAGAAUCCCGUCCAUGACACGGACUACCGGUGCUCUGUGAUACGCUCUCGAAGAGUCGAGUUGUUUGGGAAUGCAGCUCAAAAUGGGUGGUAAAUUCCAUCUAAAGCUAAAUAUUGGCGAGAGACCGAUAGCGAACAAGUACCGUGAGGGAAAGAUGAAAAGCACUUUGGAAAGAGAGUUAAACAGUACGUGAAAUUGUUGAAAGGGAAACGCUUGAAGUCAGUCGCUUCUUGCAGGACUCAGCCUUGCUUCGGCCUGGUGUACUUCCUGUAGGACGGGUCAACAUCGAUUUCGAUCCGGCGGACAAAGGAUUAGGGAAUGUGAUAUCCUUUCGGGGAUGUGUUAUAGCCCUUUUUCGUAUACGCCGGUUGGGAUUGAGGACCGCAGCGCGCCUUUAAUGGCCGGGGGUUAAACCCACGUACCGCGCUUAGGAUGUUGGCAUAAUGGCUUUAAGCGACCCGUCUUGAAACACGGACCAAGGAGUCUAACAUGCUUGCGAGUGUUAGGGUGGAAAACCCUUGCGCGUAAUUAAAGUGAAAGUUGGGAUCCUCCGCAAGGGGGUGCACCGACGCCCGGCCCUGAAGUUUACGGACGGUGCUGCGGUAGAGCACGUAUGUUGGGACCCGAAAGAUGGUGAACUAUGCCUGAAUAGGGCGAAGCCAGAGGAAACUCUGGUGGAGGCUCGUAGCGAUUCUGACGUGCAAAUCGAUCGUCAAAUUUGGG